rnacentral:rRNA from 1 species
AUACGUAGGUGGCAAGCGUUGUCCGGAAUUACUGGGUGUAAAGGGUGCGCAGGCGGGACUGCAAGUUGGAUGUGAAAUUUCGAGGCUUAACCUCGAACCUGCAUCCAAAACUGUAGUUCUUGAGUGAAGUAGAGGUAGGCGGAAUUCCGAGUGUAGCGGUGAAAUGCGUAGAUAUUCGGAGGAACACCAGUGGCGAAGGCGGCCUACUGGGCUUUAACUGACGCUGAGGCACGAAAGCAUGGGGAGC